rnacentral:lncRNA from 1 species
CCGGAGAGCAGGACGCUGGAGAUGCGGCGUUUUUGGGGUUGUGGGUUCACCCUUGGAGCUCUUUAGCCCUUCUGGUCCCUGGAUUUAACCCCAGCAAGGGGAUUUCAGCCCUGGCACUUGCCAAGGGGCGCUGGUGACUCGAUCGACGUUUGCAGAGCUCCGGGCAGAGAGCGCCGCGUGUGAACAUUUUAUUGUGUUCCAGCUAGGCCACGGACAUCCCGGCACCAGCACAUCACAUCACAGCCACAUCCACGGCUGCACAGAGCUUCCUUCGGCAUCUCAGCCACCCCACCACCACCAAAGGCUGAGGAGGAAAAACCAAACCCCCAGCCAGGGCAGACGGGUGCCCGGAAGGCGCCAUCCCAGCGCCGCUUUUGGGCACAGAUCUCUCUUUACGGACUCGCUCGUCAAGUUGCUGCUCCACUCUUUUCUUUAUGGAGCCGCAGAAGUGUCUGUAAUGAGAGAUUAAAAUAGUAGUCGUGCCCCGUGAUUUAUUUUCGAAGUUCUCGCGUCUCCGUGCGUGUAAACACCGCGGGCUGCGGGCCGGGAUGAAUAACGCCGUGCGAUAUAUUACCCAGGGAGGACGCAAAGCACCGGAAAGACGGAGAAGGGGGAAAUGCGUUUGCUGGGUGAGGCAGAGUGGUGGGAAAUCCCUCCCCAAACAAACCAAGCGGCGCUGCAGGAGCUCCCUGCUCCUGGCCUGGCAGGGCGAGCGUGGCUCCAGCUGCUCCCUGGCACAAGGAGCGAGGUGCCAGCUCUGCAGUGCUCCUCUCAGCGCUCACUACAACACCCCACCACCCUUCAGAGGCCCCUGGGUGCCAGAUUUGCCCUCUGCCCCCGCGAGCUGAGAGCCUCAAAGCGCGUGGUGGCAUCCUGAGGCCAUCCGUGAGGAAGGGCAGGUGUGUGUCCAGGCACGGGGCUGGCUCCAGGCUCAGCCCAUCCUUCGGGGCUCCUCUGGCCUCCCACCUCCACAGAUAACCUCCUUCCCUAUGCUAAUGCCCUCGGAACAUUAUGCAGACUGUUUAUAUUUCUGUACAGCCAGAACAGGCUGCUGACACAAAUCAGCCAUUAGCCAUUCACACUGAGGAGUCUCCGCUAAUUGUGCAGAAUGUAAUUAGUGAUUAUGUAAUAUCUAAGCUCUUGCAACUGUCAUUAAUGUCCACUAUUCACCAGAGAUAGUUCUUACUGAAUUAGGGAAUGAUUACUGCAUGCUAAAUCUACUUAAUCCUAAAUAUGCUAAUUAACACCGCCUGCACUUUAGACAGUGGUUAAAAGCACUAGUCACCUCAAAAAAAGGCUCUGAUACACCAGAACCCAAAUUGCUUGCUUGGAUUUUCCCUCAAAAGGUAAAUUUGUUUAAUUAAAUGCUGUAGUAAACUGUUGGGCACAGCCCUUGAUUAGUGCAGCCCAAGGAGGGGCCUUCUGGAAUGAUCUCACGAGGUGCCACCACAGGACAGCGAUGCUCCUGCAGCAUCCUG